AGUGAACGCUGGCGGUAGGCCUAACACAUGCAAGUCGAACGGUAGUACAGUAAGAGCCUGCUCUUACGGGUGGCGAGUGGCGGACGGGUGAGGAAUACAUCGGAAUCUACUUUUUCGUGGGGGAUAACGUAGGGAAACUUACGCUAAUACCGCAUACGACCUACGGGUGAAAGCAGGGGAUCUUCGGACCUUUCGCGAUUGAAUGAGCCGAUGUCGGAUUAGCUAGUUGGCGGGGUAAAGGCCCACCAAGGCGACGAUCCGUAGCUGGUCUGAGAGGAUGAUCAGCCACACUGGAACUGAGACACGGUCCAGACUCCUACGGGAGGCAGCAGUGGGGAAUAUUGGACAAUGGGCGCAAGCCUGAUCCAGCCAUACCGCGUGGGUGAAGAAGGCCUUCGGGUUGUAAAGCCCUUUUGUUGGGAAAGAAAAGCAGCAGGUUAAUACCCCGCUGUUCUGACGGUACCCAAAGAAUAAGCACCGGCUAACUUCGUG
rnacentral:rRNA from 1 species